rnacentral:rRNA from 1 species
AUUGAACGCUGGCGGUAGGCCUAACACAUGCAAGUCGAACGGCAGCACAGUAAGAGCUUGCUCUUACGGGUGGCGAGUCGCAGACGGGUGAGGAAUACAUCGGAAUCUACUUUUUCGUGGGGGAAAACGUAGGGAAACUUACGCUAAUACCGCAUACGACCUACGGGUGAAAGCAGGGCAUCUUCGGACCUUGCGCGAUUAUAUGAGCCGAUGUCGGAUUAGCUAGUUGGCGGGGUAAAGUCCCACCACGGCGACGAUCCGUAGCUGGUCUGAGAGGAUGAUCAGCCACACUGGAACUGAGACACGGUACAGACGCCUACGGGAGGCAGCAGUGGGGAAUAUUGGACAAUGGGCGCAAGCCUGAUCCAGCCAUGCCGCGUGGGUGAAGAAGGCCUUCGGGUUGUAAAGCCCUUUUGUUGGGGAAGAAAAGCAGCAGGUUAAUACCCCGCUGUUCUGACGGUACCCAAAGAAGAAGCACCGGCUAACUUCGUG